GUACUAAUAGUUCAGAGACAGAACGCCGGUCUUGUAAGCCGGAUGCCGGAGGCUAAAAUCCCCCUUAGUACU
rnacentral:tRNA from 1 species